rnacentral:rRNA from 1 species
CCGAAUUCGUCGACAACAGAGUUUGAUCAUGGCUCAGAUUGAACGCUGGCGGCAGGCCUAACACAUGCAAGUCGAACGGUAACAGGAAGAAGCUUGCUUCUUUGCUGACGAGUGGCGGACGGGUGAGUAAUGUCUGGGAAACUGCCUGAUGGAGGGGGAUAACUACUGGAAACGGUAGCUAAUACCGCAUAACGUCGCAAGACCAAAGAGGGGGACCUUCGGGCCUCUUGCCAUCGGAUGUGCCCAGAUGGGAUUAGCUAGUAGGUGGGGUAACGGCUCACCUAGGCGACGAUCCCUAGCUGGUCUGAGAGGAUGACCAGCCACACUGGAACUGAGACACGGUCCAGACUCCUACGGGAGGCAGCAGUGGGGAAUAUUGCACAAUGGGCGCAAGCCUGAUGCAGCCAUGCCGCGUGUAUGAAGAAGGCCUUCGGGUUGUAAAGUACUUUUCAGCGGGGAGGAAGGGAGUAAAGUUAAUACCUUUGCUCAUUGACGUUACCCGCAGAAGAAGCACCGGCUAACUCCGUGCCAGCAGCCGCGGUAAUACGGAGGGUGCAAGCGUUAAUCGGAAUUACUGGGCGUAAAGCGCACGCAGGCGGUUUGUUAAGUCAGAUGUGAAAUCCCCGGGCUCAACCUGGGAACUGCAUCUGAUACUGGCAAGCUUGAGUCUCGUAGAGGGGGGUAGAAUUCCAGGUGUAGCGGUGAAAUGCGUAGAGAUCUGGAGGAAUACCGGUGGCGAAGGCGGCCCCCUGGACGAAGACUGACGCUCAGGUGCGAAAGCGUGGGGAGCAAACAGGAUUAGAUACCCUGKUAGUCCACGCCGUAAACGAUGUCGACUUGGAGGUUGUGCCCUUGAGGCGUGGCUUCCGGAGCUAACGCGUUAAGUCGACCGCCUGGGGAGUACGGCCGCAAGGUUAAAACUCAAAUGAAUUGACGGGGGCCCGCACAAGCGGUGGAGCAUGUGGUUUAAUUCGAUGCAACGCGAAGAACCUUACCUGGUCUUGACAUCCACAGAACUUUCCAGAGAUGGAUUGGUGCCUUCGGGAACUGUGAGACAGGUGCUGCAUGGCUGUCGUCAGCUCGUGUUGUGAAAUGUUGGGUUAAGUCCCGCAACGAGCGCAACCCUUAUCCUUUGUUGCCAGCGGUCCGGCCGGGAACUCAAAGGAGACUGCCAGUGAUAAACUGGAGGAAGGUGGGGAUGACGUCAAGUCAUCAUGGCCCUUACGACCAGGGCUACACACGUGCUACAAUGGCGCAUACAAAGAGAAGCGACCUCGCGAGAGCAAGCGGACCUCAUAAAGUGCGUCGUAGUCCGGAUUGGAGUCUGCAACUCGACUCCAUGAAGUCGGAAUCGCUAGUAAUCGUGGAUCAGAAUGCCACGGUGAAUACGUUCCCGGGCCUCGUACACACCGCCCGUCACACCAUGGGAGUGAGUUGCAAAAGAAGUAGGUAGCUUAACCUUCGGGAGGGCGCUUACCACUUUGUGAUUCAUGACUGGGGUGAAGUCGUAACAAGGUAACCGUAAGCUUGGAUCCCGGG